rnacentral:rRNA from 1 species
GUGGGGAAUAUUGGGCAAUGGGGGAAACCCUGACCCAGCGACGCCGCGUGAGGGAAGACGGCCUUCGGGUUGUAAACCUCUUUUGUACGGGAAGAAGGAAGUGACGGUACUGUACGAAUAAGUCCCGGCUAACUACGUGCCAGCAGCCGCGGUAAUACGUAGGGGACGAGCGUUGUCCGGAAUUACUGGGCGUACAGGGCGCGCAGGCUGGGCUGCAAGUCAGCUGUGAAAUGUCUGGGCUUAACCCGGGCAUGCGGUUGAGACUGCAGUGCUGGAGUGCUGUAGAGGCAAGUGGAAUUCCCAGUGUAUCGGUGAAAUGCGUAGAUAUUGGGAAGAACACCGGUGGCGAAGGCGACUUGCUGGGCAGCAACUGACGCUGAGGCGCGAAAGCCAGGGGAGCAAACGGGAUUAGAUACCCUGGUAGUCC